rnacentral:tRNA from 1 species
GCGAAAGUGGCGGAAUCGGCAGACGCGCCAGAUUUAGGAUCUGGUGCCUUCGGGCGUGGGGGUUCGAGUCCCCCCUUUCGCA